rnacentral:rRNA from 1 species
CCUACGGGAGGCAGCAGUAGGGCAUUUUCGUCAAUGGGCGCAAGCCUGAACGAGCAAUGCCGCGUGAACGAGGAAGGUCUUCGGAUCGUAAAGUUCUCUUGAAGGGGAGAAAGAGCGGAGAGAGGAAAUGGUCUCCGAUUGAUAUUACCCUUCGAGGAAGUCACGGCUAACUACGUGCCAGCAGCCGCGGUAAUACGUAGGUGGCUAGCGUUAUCCGGAAUGAUUGGGCGAAAAGGGUGCGUAGGCGGCCUGCUAAGUCUGUAGUGAAAGGUACCGGCUCAACCGGUACAGGCUCUGGAAACUGGCGGGCUAGAGAGCAGGAGAGGGCGGUGGAACUCCAGGUGUAGCGGUAAAAUGCGUAGAUAUAUGGAAGAACACCAGUGGCGAAGGCGGCCGCCUGGCCUGUUACUGACGCUGAGGCACGAAAGCGUGGGGAGCAAAUAGGAUUAGAUACCCGUGUAGUU